UAAUAACAGACAUGUUUAACUAUUCAAAAUGUGUAAUGGUCAAUCUCAGGCAAUUUUUUACAAGGUUUCUAAAUGGAAGAUGGUUGCAUUUUUCUCAGUCCGGUUACCAAAACGGUUUAAAUAUCAAUUAAAAGUCAUGCCAACUAGUUUCUUUGUUUUUCCCUCAAUAAAGUGGGUAUUUUAAAGAAACGAUUGGUUACAUGUUGAAAAGAAUAUAUAUAUCUGUAGCUAAAAAGUCAUAUGCAGGUGAAAUCUCUUUUUUUUAAAGACAAAGACAUGUUUUAUUUUUAAGGGCGACCCCAACCUCAAUUUUAUCGCAAAUCUAUCAUGUGUUUUAUCAAACAAUUGUUUAAAUGAUGGACCAAGCAUAACUGAAAACUAAGUGGUUUAUCUUAAUUUUUUAAAUAGGAAUGAGUAACAGGAAUAACCACUGAAUGAGCACUGAGUAACAGGAAUGAGUGCUGAGUAACAGGAAUGAGUGCUGAGUAACAGGAAUGAGCACUGAAUAACAGGCAUGAGUGCUGAGUAACAGGAAUGAGCACUGAGUAACAGGAAUGAGCACUGAGUAACAGGAAUGAGUGCUGAGUAACAGGAAUGAGCACUGAGUAACAGGAAUGAGCACUGAGUAACAGGAAUGAGCACUGAGGAACAGGAAUGAGUGCUGAGUAACAGGAAUGAGUGCUGAGUAACAGGAAUGAGCACUGAGUAACAGGAAUGAGUGCUGAGUAACAGGAAUGAGUGCUGAGUAACAGGAAUGAGCGCUGAGUAACAGGAAUGAGUGCUGAGUAACAGGAAUGAGCACUGAGUAACAGGAAUGAGCACUGAGUAACAGGAAUGAGCGCUGAGUAACAGGAAUGAGUGCUGAGUAACAGGAAUGAGCACUGAGUAACAGGAAUGAGCGCUGAGUAACAGGAAUGAGUGCUGAGUAACAGGAAUGAGCGCUGAGUAACAGGAAUGAGCGCUGAGUAACAGGAAUGAGUGCUGAGUAACAGGAAUGAGCACUGAGUAACAGGAAUGAGCACUGAGUAACAGGAAUGAGCGCUGAGGAACAGGAAUGAGUGCUGAGUAACAGGAAUGAGUGCUGAGUAACAGGAAUGAGUGCUGAUUAACAGGAAUGAGUGCUGAGUAACAGGAAUGAGUGCUGAGUAACAGGAAUGAGCACUGAGUAACAGGAAUGAGCGCUGAGUAACAGGAAUGAGCACUGAGUAACAGGAAUGAGCGCUGAGUAACAGGAAUGAGUGCUGAGUAACAGGAAUGAGUGCUGAGUAACAGGAAUGAGCACUGAGUAACAGGAAUGAGCACUGAGUAACAGGAAUGAGCGCUGAGUAACAGGAAUGAGCACUGAUUAACAGGAAUGAGCACUGAGUAACAGGAAUGAGCACUGAGUUAACAGGAAUGAGUGUUUGUAUGUGUGAGAAUAACUGGAUGUCACAGAACUUCCUUCAAUUAAACAAAUAUAAAACAGGCCAUUAUAUUUGGCCAAAAAGAUCUGAGACUAAAUAGCAACAUAAAGCAGUAACAAUUGUGUGUGUGUUUUUGCAUGAGUGCGUGUGCGUGUAUGUGAGCGUGUGCUUGUGUGUGUGUAUGCGGGGUGGUGUGGGCGGUAGAGAGCGAAAGAGAGAGAGAGAGAGAGAGAGAGAGGUGUGAGUAUCCCUCCUCCCCCUGCAGCAUGUGUGUAUGGCUCCUGCCUCUGCACAGCAUGGGUUCUCCAUCUUCCUCUACAAAAGGCAAGAAAGACAAGAAAUAGAAAAAGCUGAGAAUAUUAAGCAGAUCCUCAGAUCUCUACAUUGACUAACAGUAUCUAAUAUUAACUUGAAAGUACUAUUUUACAGCAUAUAAAACACAACAUUCACUUGCAAACACGACAUACACAAUUGUAUUUCAUAUAGAAUUGCAAUAAAUGAAUGAACAAAAACUUGCCUUUUCUAAGAAACCGUCUCUAGUUUGGCCCAGACUUCGUUGUCGAUUUCCAUGUAACGACCUGUGACUUGCUUCGCUGGUGGGAUGGUACACAGGAUGUCUUGAAAGGGGAACCAAAAGGAUGUCUUCGCGUGCUGGCCAGCAAAACCUGUUGGCCCCAGUCCUUUUCAUACAACGAACCUUGACGUGUGUGUGUGUGUGUGUGUGUGUGUGUGUGUGUGUGUGUGUGUGUGUGUGUGUGUGUGUGUGUGUGUGUGUGUGUGUGUGUGUGUGUGUGUGUGUGUGUGUGUGUGUGUGUGUGUGU